GAUGAACGCUAGCUACAGGCUUAACACAUGCAAGUCGAGGGGAAACGGCAUUGAGUGCUUGCACUCUUUGGACGUCGACCGGCGCACGGGUGAGUAACGCGUAUCCAACCUUCCCAUUACUGUGGGAUAACCUGCCGAAAGGCAGACUAAUACCGCAUAGUCUUCGAUGACGGCAUCAGAUUUGAAGUAAAGAUUUAUCGGUAAUGGAUGGGGAUGCGUCUGAUUAGCUUGUUGGCGGGGUAACGGCCCACCAAGGCUACGAUCAGUAGGGGUUCUGAGAGGAAGGUCCCUCACAUGGGAACUGAGACACGGGCCAAACUCCUACGGGAGGCAGCAGUGAGGAAGAUUGGUCAAUGGACGGAAGUCUGAACCAGCCAAGUAGCGUGCAGGAUGACGGCCCUAGGGGUUGUAAACUGCUUUUGUAUGGGGAUAAAGUUAGGGACGUGUCCCUAUUUGCAGGUACCAUACGAAUAAGGACCGGCUAAUUCCGUG
rnacentral:rRNA from 1 species